rnacentral:rRNA from 1 species
AGCGUACACGGUGGAUGCCUAGGCAGUCAGAGGCGAUGAAGGGCGUGCUAAUCUGCGAAAAGCGUCGGUAAGGUGAUAUGAACCGUUAUAACCGGCGAUACCCGAAUGGGGAAACCCAGUGUGUUUCGACACACUAUCAUGUCAUGAAUACAUAGUGGCAUGAGGCGAACCGGGGGAACUGAAACAUCUAAGUACCCCGAGGAAAAGAAAUCAACCGAGAUUCCCCCAGUAGCGGCGAGCGAACGGGGAGGAGCCCAGAACCUGAAUCGGCUUGUGUGUUAGUGGAAGCGUCUGGAAAGUCGCGCAGCAAAGGGUGAUAGCCCCGUACACUAAAAUGCACAGGUCGUGAGUUCGAUGAGUAGGGCGGGACACGUGACAUCCUGUCUGAAUAUGGGGGGACCAUCCUCCAAGGCUAAAUACUCCUGACUGACCGAUAGUGAACCAGUACCGUGAGGGAAAGGCGAAAAGAACCCCGGCGAGGGGAGUGAAAUAGAACCUGAAACCGUGUACGUACAAGCAGUGGGAGCACCUUCGUGGUGUGACUGCGUACCUUUUGUAUAAUGGGUCAGCGACUUAUAUUUUGUAGCAAGGUUAACCGUAUAGGGGAGCCGUAGGGAAACCGAGUCUUAACUGGGCGAUUAGUUGCAAGGUAUAGACCCGAAACCCGGUGAUCUAGCCAUGGGCAGGUUGAAGGUUGGGUAACACUAACUGGAGGACCGAACCGACUAAUGUUGAAAAAUUAGCGGAUGACUUGUGGCUGGGGGUGAAAGGCCAAUCAAACCGGGAGAUAGCUGGUUCUCCCCGAAAGCUAUUUAGGUAGCGCCUCGUGAACUCAUCUUCGGGGGUAGAGCACUGUUUCGGCUAGGGGGCCAUCCCGGCUUACCAAACCGAUGCAAACUCCGAAUACCGAAGAAUGUUAUCACGGGAGACACACGGCGGGUGCUAACGUCCGUCGUGAAGAGGGAAACAACCCAGACCGCCAGCUAAGGUCCCAAAGUCAUGGUUAAGUGGGAAACGAUGUGGGAAGGCAUAGACAGCCAGGAUGUUGGCUUAGAAGCAGCCAUCAUUUAAAGAAAGCGUAAUAGCUCACUGGUCGAGUCGGCCUGCGCGGAAGAUGUAACGGGGCUAAACCAUGCACCGAAGCUGCGGCAGCGACGCUUAGGCGUUGUUGGGUAGGGGAGCGUUCUGUAAGCCGUUGAAGGUGGCCUGUGAGGGUUGCUGGAGGUAUCAGAAGUGCGAAUGCUGACAUAAGUAACGAUAAAGCGGGUGAAAAGCCCGCUCGCCGGAAGACCAAGGGUUCCUGUCCAACGUUAAUCGGGGCAGGGUGAGUCGACCCCUAAGGCGAGGCUGAAAAGCGUAGUCGAUGGGAAACAGGUUAAUAUUCCUGUACUUGGUGUUACUGCGAAGGGGGGACGGAGAAGGCUAGGCUAGCCGGGCGACGGUUGUCCCGGUUUAAGCGUGUAGGGGGUGUGACCUGGUAAAUCCGGUUGCAUAUUAACCCUGAGGCGUGAUGACGAUGCACUACGGUGCAGAAGUAGUUGAUGCCCUGCUUCCAGGAAAAUCCUCUAAGCAUCAGGUAACAUUAAAUCGUACCCCAAACCGACACAGGUGGUCAGGUAGAGAAUACCAAGGCGCUUGAGAGAACUCGGGUGAAGGAACUAGGCAAAAUGGUGCCGUAACUUCGGGAGAAGGCACGCUGGCAUGUAGGUGAAGUCCCUCGCGGAUGGAGCUGAAGCCAGUCGAAGAUACCAGCUGGCUGCAACUGUUUAAUAAAAACACAGCACUGUGCAAACACGAAAGUGGACGUAUACGGUGUGACGCCUGCCCGGUGCUGGAAGGUUAAUUGAUGGGGUCAGCCGCAAGGCGAAGCUCUUGAUCGAAGCCCCAGUAAACGGCGGCCGUAACUAUAACGGUCCUAAGGUAGCGAAAUUCCUUGUCGGGUAAGUUCCGACCUGCACGAAUGGCGUAAUGAUGGCCAGGCUGUCUCCACCCGAGACUCAGUGAAAUUGAACUCGCUGUGAAGAUGCAGUGUACCCGCGGCAAGACGGAAAGACCCCGUGAACCUUUACUAUAGCUUGACACUGAACAUUGAGCCUUGAUGUGUAGGAUAGGUGGGAGGCUUUGAAGCGUGGACGCCAGUCUGCGUGGAGCCAUCCUUGAAAUACCACCCUUUAAUGUUUGAUGUUCUAACUCGGCCCCAUAAUCUGGGGUGAGGACAGUGUCUGGUGGGUAGUUUGACUGGGGCGGUCUCCUCCCAAAGAGUAACGGAGGAGCACGAAGGUUAGCUAAUCACGGUCGGACAUCGUGAGGUUAGUGCAAAGGCAUAAGCUAGCUUGACUGCGAGAGUGACGGCUCGAGCAGGUACGAAAGUAGGUCUUAGUGAUCCGGUGGUUCUGAAUGGAAGGGCCAUCGCUCAACGGAUAAAAGGUACUCCGGGGAUAACAGGCUGAUACCGCCCAAGAGUUCAUAUCGACGGCGGUGUUUGGCACCUCGAUGUCGGCUCAUCACAUCCUGGGGCUGAAGUAGGUCCCAAGGGUAUGGCUGUUCGCCAUUUAAAGUGGUACGCGAGCUGGGUUUAGAACGUCGUGAGACAGUUCGGUCCCUAUCUGCCGUGGGCGUUGGAAGAUUGAGAGGGGUUGCUCCUAGUACGAGAGGACCGGAGUGAACGCACCACUGGUGUUCGGGUUGUCAUGCCAAUGGCAUUGCCCGGUAGCUAAGUGCGGAAAAGAUAAGCGCUGAAAGCAUCUAAGCGCGAAACUUGCCUCAAGAUGAGUCUUCCCUGGGCCUUUAAGGUCCCUGAAGGAACGUUUAAGACUAAGACGUUGA